rnacentral:lncRNA from 10 species
CGUCACUCCUCCUCAGGCCCUCAGGUUCACUUCUGUAACUAAGGCUUCAGGAUGGGUCAUUCAGCAACCCCAGAGCUGCCCUGCCCGUCAAGCUUGAACUCUUUAAGGAAAUAACAUUUAGAGUGGACUGUGCCCCCAGCAGCCCCCAAGCAUGGCAUCGUGUGCUGAACCCUCUGAGCCCUCUGCCCCACUGCCCGCCGGGGUCCCACCGCUCGAGGAC